rnacentral:rRNA from 1 species
GACAGAGGGGGCAAGCGUUGCUCGGAAUCACUGGGCGUAAAGGGCGCGUAGGCGGCCCGCUAAGUCGAACGUGAAAUCCCCAGGCUCAACCUGGGAACUGCGUCCGAUACUGGCAGGCUUGAAUCCGGGAGAGGGAUGUGGAAUUCCAGGUGUAGCGGUGAAAUGCGUAGAUAUCUGGAGGAACACCGGUGGCGAAGGCGGCAUCCUGGACCGGUAUUGACGCUGAGGCGCGAAAGCUAGGGGAGCAAACGGGG